rnacentral:rRNA from 1 species
CCUACGGGAGGCAGCAGUGAGGAAUAUUGGUCAAUGGACGAGAGUCUGAACCAGCCAAGUAGCGUGAAGGAUGACUGCCCUAUGGGUUGUAAACUUCUUUUAUAUGGGAAUAAAACGUUCCACGUGUGGGAUUUUGUAUGUACCAUAUGCAUAAGGAUCGGCUAACUCCGUGCCAGCAGCCGCGGUAAUACGGAGGAUCCGAGCGUUAUCCGGAUUUAUUGGGUUUAAAGGGAGCGUAGGUGGAUUGUUAAGUCAGUUGUGAAAGUUUGCGGCUCAACCGUAAAAUUGCAGUUGAAACUGGCAGUCUUGAGUACAGUAGAGGUGGGCGGAAUUCGUGGUGUAGCGGUGAAAUGCUUAGAUAUCACGAAGAACUCCGAUUGCGAAGGCAGUUCACUGGACUGCAACUGACACUGAGGCUCGAAAGUGUGGGUAUCAAACAGGAUUAGAUACCCUAGUAGUC